rnacentral:rRNA from 1 species
UACGUAGGUGACAAGCGUUGUCCGGAUUUACUGGGCGUAAAGAGCGCGCAGGCGGUCGUUCAAGUCGAGUGUGAAAGCCCUCGGCUCAACUGGGGAGGGUCACUCGAUACUGAUCGACUCGAAGGCAGGAGAGGGUAGUGGAAUUCCCGGUGUAGUGGUGAAAUGCGUAGAUAUCGGGAGGAACACCAGUGGCGAAGGCGACUACCUGGCCUGUUCUUGACGCUGAGGCGCGAAAGCUAGGGGAGCAAACGGG